AGAACGAACGCUGGCGGCAUGCCUAGUACAUGCAAGUCGAACGAACACUUCGGUGUUAGUGGCGCACGGGUGCGUAACGCGUGGGAAUCUGCCCUUGGGUUCGGAAUAACAGUUGGAAACGACUGCUAAUACCGGAUGAUGACGAAAGUCCAAAGAUUUAUCGCCCAGGGAUGAGCCCGCGUAGGAUUAGCUAGUUGGUGAAGUAAAGGCUCACCAAGGCGACGAUCCUUAGCUGGUCUGAGAGGAUGAUCAGCCACACUGGGACUGAGACACGGCCCAGACUCCUACGGGAGGCAGCAGUAGGGAAUAUUGGACAAUGGGCGAAAGCCUGAUCCAGCAAUGCCGCGUGAGUGAUGAAGGCCUUAGGUUGUAAAGCUCUUUUACCCGAGAUGAUAAUGACAGUAUCGGAGAAUAAGCCCGGCUAACUCCGCGCCAGCAGCCGC
rnacentral:rRNA from 1 species